CAUUAAGAAGCUAUGUAUCAGCACUAGCCUUUUAAGCUAGAGAAAGAGGACCCCUAACUCCUCCUUAAUGA
rnacentral:tRNA from 1 species